UGGUGUGGAAAGUUUUUCGGUCUGGGAUGGACUCGCGGCCUAUCAGCUUGUUGGUGAGGUAAUGGCUCACCAAGGCGACGACGGGUAGCCGGCCUGAGAGGGCGACCGGCCACACUGGGACUGAGACACGGCCCAGACUCCUACGGGAGGCAGCAGUGGGGAAUAUUGCACAAUGGGCGAAAGCCUGAUGCAGCGACGCCGCGUGAGGGAUGACGGCCUUCGGGUUGUAAACCUCUUUCAGCAGGGAAGAAGCGCAAGUGACGGUACCUGCAGAAGAAGCACCGGCUAACUACGUGCCAGCAGCCGCGGUAAUACGUAGGGUGCGAGCGUUGUCCGGAAUUAUUGGGCGUAAAGAGCUUGUAGGCGGUUUGUCGCGUCUGCCGUGAAAAUUCGAGGCUCAACCUCGAACUUGCGGUGGGUACGGGCAGACUAGAGUGUGGUAGGGGAGACUGGAAUUCCUGGUGUAGCGGUGAAAUGCGCAGAUAUCAGGAGGAACACCGAUGGCGAAGGCAGGUCUCUGGGCCACUACUGACGCUGAGAAGCGAAAGCAUGGGGAGCGAACAGGAUUAGAUACCCUGGUAGUCCAUGCCGUAAACGUUGGGAACUAGGUGUGGGUCUCAUUCCACGAGAUCCGUGCCGCAGCUAACGCAUUAAGUUCCCCGCCUGGGGAGUACGGCCGCAAGGCUAAAACUCAAAGGAAUUGACGGGGGCCCGCACAAGCGGCGGAGCAUGCGGAUUAAUUCGAUGCAACGCGAAGAACCUUACCAAGGCUUGACAUAUGCGAGAACGCGGCAGAGAUGUCGUUCUCUUUGGACACUCGCAUACAGGUGGUGCAUGGUUGUCGUCAGCUCGUGUCGUGAGAUGUUGGGUUAAGUCCCGCAACGAGCGCAACCCUCGUUCUAUGUUGCCAGCACGUGAUGGUGGGGACUCAUAGGAGACUGCCGGGGUCAACUCGGAGGAAGGUGGGGAUGACGUCAAAUCAUCAUGCCCCUUAUGUCUUGGGCUUCACGCAUGCUACAAUGGCCGGUACAAAGGGCUGCGAUACCGCGAGGUGGAGCGAAUCCCAAAAAACCGGUCUCAGUUCGGAUUGGGGUCUGCAACUCGAC
rnacentral:rRNA from 1 species